GUCAGCGUUGAUUCAGUGUGAGAGGAGACUACAGAUGGACGUGAAUGGUGGUGGGUACGGACCACUGGGGCCAAACUGGAGGCUGAAGACCACAUGCAUCUUGCUGGCUUCUCACCCAGGAGGACUGGCCUGGGAAGAGGGAUCCCUGGAGAGGAGCUGAGCGGAUUGCCUUGGCACUCUGAGGUCAACUCCAGCCCUGACUGGGAAGGGAUCCACUUUGAAGCUCAGCAGCUCAUCCCCUGCCUGCUGGUGAGGCUGCUCUCGUUGGUAUCUGGAGACAUCAGUUCCUUGCCACAUGGACCUCUCCACAGGGCUGCUCAUGCUCACAACAUGGCAACUGGCUUCCCCAGGGGGAGGACACAAGUGACAGAGAGGAGGAGGGACCCAGAGUCUCUAUCAUAG
rnacentral:lncRNA from 13 species